rnacentral:rRNA from 1 species
GACGAACGCGGCGGCGUGCUUAACACAUGCAAGUCGAACGGAGCGAAUGAAAGCUUGCUUUUAUGAGCUUAGUGGCAAACGGGUGAGUAACACGUAGACAACCUGCCGAUCAGAUGGGGACAACAUUCCGAAAGGAAUGCUAAUACCGAAUGAAGUGUGGGGGAGGCAUCUUCCCUACAUGAAAGAUGGCCUCUAUUUAUAAGCUAUCACUGAUCGAUGGGUCUGCGUCUGAUUAGCUGGUAGGUAAGGUAACGGCUUACCUAGGCGACGAUCAGUAGCCGGUCUGAGAGGAUGAACGGCCACAUUGGGACUGAGACACGGCCCAGACUCCUACGGGAGGCAGCAGUGGGGAAUCUUCCGCAAUGGGCGCAAGCCUGACGGAGCAACGCCGCGUGAGUGAAGAAGGUCUUCGGAUCGUAAAGCUCUGUUGAAGGGGACGAACGUACAUAAGUUGAAUAAGCUUAUGUAAUGACGGUACCUUGAGGAGCC